rnacentral:misc_RNA from 1 species
GAAUCUUUGAAGGAGCUGUUUGCUGGCCUCUAGCGAGGCAUGUGCACGCUCCGUUCAAAAUCCAACCUUUCAUACCCCUGUGCACCUUUUGUAGGGUCGUGGCUGUGAGGCUGCGCUCUAUGUUUAUCAUAUAAACUCUUCAGUAUGUGCAGAAUGACACCGCGUGUAACGCAUCUUUAUACAACUUUCAGCAACGGAUCUCUUGGCUCU